AUCCCUCAUACCCGCAGGGCCCUGGGGCCUUCCAGGUCGGGCUGGGUGCACACAAACAAGCUCUGCUCCCUGCAGGCUGCCUUCAUGCAGCAAGACAGGGCUGUUGCUUCCGUGCACUUUCGCUCUCAACUCCUGGAUCUCAUCAGGAGCAGGAGCCAGAUCCUAUCAGCUGCACAGCACCGCAGCAACGCGCCGAACCCUGGCUGCAGUGAUGCACGGCAGCCCCCACGGCUGAGCUGCACUCAGACCUAAACGGGCUGAGGGUUUGCCUACAAACACUCCUUCAGAGUUUUCUGGGGGAGGGAAAAAAGAAAAAAAAGAAAAAAAAAAGAAAAAAUCACAGCCUAUACAUUCUGCUGAGACCCCUCAAGCCUCUCACUUGUGCACCAAGUGCCUCCUUCUCACGCUGCUUCCCUGCCUCUGCUGCCAGCACCGGGAGGGACUGUGCGAGCUUCCCCAGCAGCCUCAACACAUUCCUCCACGGAGAGCCCUUAACAGCAGUCACCCACAGCUCUUCUUUGUGCUUGUUCACUCCUCUCCUGGCUGCUGCCAACGCAGAGCUGCUGACCCACUUCCUCUCUGCUUGGGUUAAUUCACAGGGAAUCGUUCCCAAAGCCUCAAGAAUUGGGAAACCAAGCAAGCUGCAGCAUUUGUGCAUAGGAGGGAGCGCAUCCGUGCGAGCACAGCAGGAGCUAGGGCUGGCUGUUGGUGCAACACAGCGAUGUGCAAUGCAAACAGCCAGGCAGCAGACGGCUCGGCGCGCAGCGAGGCAGGUUGUUGCUCCAACCAACACGACUCAUUAGCUGCAGUGGUUCCUUCAGCAAGAGGCAAGGGAUGGGAGAAGACAGGGACAGCCUUUAUUUUCCCUGUCAGGGGGAAGUGCUGGGUGUACUUCUGCUCACUCCUUGCAUGCUCAUUCCUCUGCAGGUUCAUUCUGUAUGUUCCCAGGCUGGGGAGAGGGUGGCACAGGCAGGUUCAUAGAGAGAUAGAAUGGUUUGAGUUGGAAGGGACCCUCAGAGGCCGCCUGGUGCCACUCCCUGCAGUGCACAGGGACAGCCACAGCUCCAGCAGUGCUCAGAGCCCCGUCCAGCCUGACCUUGGCUGUCUGCAGGGACGGGGCACCACCGCCUCUCUGGGCAACCUGUGCCACUGCCUCACCGCCCUCAGUGCCAAACCUUCUUCCUUAUCUCCAGGCCCAAUCUCCCCUCUUGCAGUCUGAAGCCAUUUCCCCUUCUCCUAUCACACAGACCCCACUAUGGAGUCUGCCCCCUUCCUUCUCACAGCCCCUUCGGAUACUGACAGGCCGCUCUCAGCUCUCCCCUUCCUUCUCUUCUCCAUGCUGCACAGCCCCAGCUCUCAGCCUGGCCUCGCAGGGAGGGCUUCCAUCCCCGGCACCAUUUCUGUGUCCCUCCUCUGGACGCACUCCAACAGCUC
ensembl:lncRNA